UACAGAGGUCUCAAGCGUUGUUCGGAUUCAUUGGGCGUAAAGGGUGUGUAGGUGGCGCCGUAAGUCGGGUGUGAAAGCCCGGAGCUUAACUCCGGAGGGUCGGUGGAUACUGCCAGUCUUGAAGGUGCUAGGGGGAGAUGGAAUUACCGGUGUAGCGGUGAAAUGCGUAAAUAUCGGUAGGAACACCAGUGGCGAAGGCGGUCUCCUGGGGCAUUCUUGACGCUGAGGCGCGAAAGCUGGGGGAGCAAACGGG
rnacentral:rRNA from 1 species